rnacentral:rRNA from 1 species
GACGAACGCUGGCGGCGUGCCUAAUACAUGCAAGUUGAGCGAUGAAGAUUGGUGCUUGCACCAAUUUGAAGAGCAGCGAACGGGUGAGUAACGCGUGGGGAAUCUGCCUUUGAGCGGGGGACAACAUUUGGAAACGAAUGCUAAUACCGCAUAACAACUUUAAACAUAAGUUUAAAGUUUAAAAGAUGCAUUUGCAUCACUCAAAGAUGAUCCCGCGUUGUAUUAGCUAGUUGGUGAGGUAAAGGCUCACCAAGGCGAUGAUACAUAGCCGACCUGAGAGGGUGAUCGGCCACAUUGGGACUGAGACACGGCCCAAACUCCUACGGGAGGCAGCAGUAGGGAAUCUUCGGCAAUAGACGAAAGUCUGACCGAGCAACGCCGCGUGAGUGAAGAAGGUUUUCGGAUCGUAAAACUCUGUUGGUAGAGAAGAACGUUGGUGAGAGUGGAAAGCUCAUCAAGUGACGGUAACUACCCAGAAAGGGACGGCUAACUACGUG